UCCCCAGUGGCUGCUGUGCGUACACUGACUUCUGCAGGCCUAGGGAUAGAGCUGAGUUCUGUGCUUGUCCUCACUCUCUGGAUCCCCUGGCAAGGGCUUGGUGAGCUGUUAUUACAGGCAUCAAAUAACCAUUUCACUGAACAUCUACAACGCGGAAGGCACUGACUACAUGAGAUUUAUCUGCUUCUUGUGUUUCGUUUGGAAGCGCUAUAGGGGAGUGAACUUGGAGGCAGAGAGAGGAAGCGGGGACCUGCAGGGACCUGGUGACUCUGGAGAAUGAGGGAGUCGCACCCCGGAGAGCCUUCCGGUGCCUUCGUUGCGUGGUCUUAAAGCCGGGAACCCUCCCGGUGCAAAGGGAUCCAAGAAUUCGAAAAAUCAUCUGACCUCACACAAACCUGAAGCCACACAGCUGCCAGCGCUGCCAGCGCCCUCAUUGAAACCAGCCCUUUGAAACUCACAGAAGAGCCCCCCAUGCUCCCCUCCCGUCUCCCUCUUUAGAGAGAAAGACGGCCAUGUGUGGGAAACGGCUUCGCUUUGCGGUGGU